rnacentral:misc_RNA from 1 species
UCAACGAAGUCCGGAUAGGCGACACGCGCCGCACUGUCGAUCGCGCCGCCGCGCAACUCGCGCGGAGCGCCUCGGCCGCGCUCAACAUCCCGGGCAUUCCGACGACCGCACGGUUCCCCAAUACGCUGCCGACAUUUCUCGUCAGCGGCUACCAGCAGCUCGGAUCGCCGCCCAACACGGCGUCGGCCUUCAGUACGAGCGUCACGGAGGUGGCCGACACCCUGACAUGGGUCACAGGACGGCACACGCUCAAGAUGGGCUUCGACUGGCGCUGGUCCCGGUUGAACGUGAUUCAGCCGCCGUCGCCGACGGGAUCGUUCACGUUCAAUGCGAUUGGCAGCGACCUGCCGGGCACCGCCAAUACCGGAACGCCGCUGGCCAGCUUCCUGCUCGGGCAGGUGCAGUCGUUCUCGAUCGAUCUGCAGCAGGGUGAGAUUCAGGAGCGCGCCCGCUUCCAGGAGUACUUCGUCCAGGACGACUGGAGGGUCUCCGAGCGCUUGACCGUCACCCCGGGCCUCCGGUACACGCUGAACUUCCCGUCCACGGAAAUCAACGGCCAGACGGCCGUCUUCAACCUGCAGAGCCAGCUGCUCGACUACCCGGGCGACAAGCCGGUGCGGCCGCUGAAGAAGAACAACUUCGGUCCCCGUCUGGGCGUGAUGUACCGGGCGACGGAGAAGACGCUGAUCAGUACGGGCUUCGGCCUGGUCUGGAUCGAGAUGGCGGGAAUCACCACACCGUUCACGACAC